UUCCCUCUAUUAUCUGGCUUGGGAUGAAAUAAUCAGCUAUGAAGUUAGAAAAUUAGAUUUCAGACUGCCUUAAUGAAUGAGGAUCCCAUCUCUAUUUAUACCAUACUGCAUAUAAGUGACGACCAGGUACUACUUAACUACUAAUGAGCUGCUCUGGAUGUUUCUUACCAGCAAAAUGGGAUGCUUCCAUUUGACAAGUUUAAGAAACCCUUCAAUGGACAUGAGCCUUAAAAAACUACAAAAUGAAAAAAGAGCAAACACUCAAAAACCUUUGGAAAAGUCUCUGAAAUAUUUGCU